AGAGCGAACGCUGGCGGCAGGCCUAACACAUGCAAGUCGAGCGCGUGUAGCAAUACACGAGCGGCAGACGGGAGAGUAACACGUGGGAACGCGCCCUUCGGUUCGGAAUAACUCAGGGAAACUUGAGCUAAUACCGGAUACGCCCUUACGGGGAAAGAUUUAUUGCCGAAGGAACGGCCCGCGUCCGAUUAGCUAGUUGGUGAGGUAACGGCUCACCAAGGCGACGAUCGGUAGCUGGUCUGAGAGGAUGACCAGCCUCACUGGGACUGAGACACGGCCCAGACUCCUACGGGAGGCAGCAGUGGGGAAUAUGGACAAUGGGCGCAAGCCUGAUCCAGCCAUGCCGCGUGGAUGAUGAGGCCUUAGGGUGUAAAGUCCUUUUAACGGGAAGAUAAUGACGGUACCGUAGAAUAAGCCCGGCUAACUUCGCGCCAGCAGCCGC
rnacentral:rRNA from 1 species